UACAGAGGUCUCAAGCGUUGUUCGGAUUCAUUGGGCGUAAAGGGUGCGUAGGCGGCGCGGUAAGUCGGGUGUGAAAUCUCGGAGCUUAACUCCGAAACUGCAUUCGAUACUGCCGUGCUUGAGGACUGGAGAGGAGACUGGAAUUUACGGUGUAGCGGUGAAAUGCGUAGAUAUCGGGAGGAACACCAAUGGCGAAGGCAGCUUGCUGGGACGGUACUGACGCUGAGACGCGAAAGCGUGGGGAGCAAACAGG
rnacentral:rRNA from 1 species